GAUGAAGAACGUAGCGAAAUGCGAUACGUAAUGUGAAUUGCAGAAUUCAGUGAAUCAUCGAAUCUUUGAACGCACAUUGCGCCCGCUAGUAUUCUGGCGGGCAUGCCUGUCCGAGCGUCAUUUCAACCCAUCAAGCUUAGCGCUUGUGUUGGAGCCCUGCGGCCGCCGCAGCCUCCUAAAAUCAGUGGCGGGCUCGCUAUCACGCUGAGUGCAGUAGUAUUCUUCUCACUCCUGUGGUGUAGCGGGUAACCAGCCGUAAACCCCCCCCUCUAUAAAGGUUGACCUCGGAUCAGGUAGGAAUACCCGCUGAACUUAAGCAUAUCAAUAAGCGGAGGA
rnacentral:misc_RNA from 1 species